CGGUAGCUCAGUUGGUAGAGCAACGGACUGAAAAUCCGUGUGUCGGCGGUUCGAUUCCGUCCCGA
rnacentral:tRNA from 2 species